UCCUCACGGCACAAAGCCGGGUCUAGUUUGCGUUGCGGACUGAUCGGCUGCAGAACUACCAGUACCGAGAUGCUCCCCAAAAAUAAAUGAUGGGAAAAGAGGUGAUGGUUUCCGGGAAGAGUGUGAAGUGUUUGGACCCGGGCGCUGCUGGAAGAAGAAGGAGAAGAAGAAGAAGAAGAGGGGAAAGUGAGGUGAGGAAACGACCGAGCUGUUGUUUAUAAAGCGGGUGUAACUAUUUUCGAGGAGGAAGAGAGUGAGGAGGAGGGAUGACUGAGGAGCAAACAAAGCGGAAUCGUCCCGGAAGUUGUGUUAUUGUUCACUCCGGUGUCCCUCUGACAGUCUGAGCAGCAUCAGCCUGCAGAGAGAGAGAGAGGCUGAGAAGCUCCACACACACACCGCGGCUCCAUCCUCUUCACCCUGCCACAGAUCCCAGCUCAGACGCUUUUCACGCCUUAAACCGAGUCGACACCUCAGCACAUCCUCUGGCAGGGAGCAGAAAUGGACAGCCUGGCUCCUGGCCCUCGGAACACAAGGACACAUACAUGUGGAGCGUGUUAGUGCGCGGGACUCAGUGAGAAGUUGGGCUCGUACUCUGUAGCCUUUGGACAAGAUGGAGGGACACCGAGGAGGAAGAAAAAAGUUUAGCAAAGACAAAGAGCAUUUUUGGGCUGCUUGUGAAAGUGGGCCACUGGUCCCUGUGGUGAGUGGUGGUUUUCUGGGGCAGGCUCRGCGGUGACGCUCACCCAGCCUGGAUUGGGAACAAGGCGCCCUCGUCCCUUCCGUUUCGAAGCUCAUUCUCCGCAGGAUGAUCAGCUCACUCCACCUGUCUCAGGUAACAUUACA